rnacentral:rRNA from 1 species
UACGUUCCCGGGCCUUGUACACACCGCCCGUCACGUCACGAAAGUCGGUAACGCCCGAAGCCGGUGGCCCAACCCUUGUGGAGGGAGCCGUCGAAGGCGGGAUCGGCGAUUGGGACG